rnacentral:sRNA from 1 species
AUGCCUCAGUGUCUGGAGUAGCUGGGAUUACAGGCACGCGCCACCAUGCCCAGCUAAUUUUUGUAUUUUUAGUAGAGACGGGGUUUCAGCAUGUUGGUUAGGCUGGUCUUGAACUCCUGACCUCGUGAUCCGCCCUCCUCGGCCUCCCAAAGUGCCGGGAUUACAGGCGUGAGCCACUGCUCCCGGCGUUUGGGUUUUUUAAGCUAUUCAAAUUAAGUAGACUGGAAUCUGGAGCAGUGUGUGUGACAACCCCUCUGCACACCCAACUUUCCCCGGGCCGGCUAGUGACUCAAAGCGACAGCCCAGAUUUAAGAAAACGAAACCUAGUGCAGCUGGGGCACUUCCGGGAUCUCGCUAUCCGGCCGCCACCCGCAGCUGCAGCACAGUCAUGGCCCAGGCGUCGCCGCCCCGGCCCGAGAGGGUGCUCGGCGCCAGCAGCCCGGAGGCCCAGCCCGCGCAGGAGGCGCUCCUCCUUCCCACCGGUGUCUUUCAGGUUGCAGAAAAGAUGGAAAAAAGGACAUGUGCACUCUGCCCCAAAGAUGUCGAGUAUAAUGUCCUGUACUUUGCACAAUCAGAGAAUAUAGCUGCUCAUGAGAAUUGUUUGCUGUAUUCUUCAGGACUUGUGGAAUGUGAGGAUCAGGAUCCACUUAAUCCUGAUAGAAGUUUUGAUGUGGAAUCAGUAAAGAAAGAAAUCCAGAGAGGAAGGAAGUUGAAAUGCAAAUUUUGUCAUAAAAGAGGAGCCACCGUGGGAUGUGAUUUAAAAAACUGUAACAAGAAUUACCACUUUUUCUGUGCCAAGAAGGACGACGCAGUUCCACAGUCUGACGGAGUUCGAGGAAUUUAUAAACUGCUUUGCCAGCAACAUGCUCAAUUCCCGAUCAUCGCUCAAAGUGGUAAGUUUCUAAAAUUUAGCACUGUGGGUUUUAAAGAAAGGUAAACAUUUAUGUAACAUAAGGAAUAGUCUAAUUUUCUAGCCUCGUUGAAUU